ensembl:lncRNA
CAGGGAGGGACGGGUGUGCAUUACCUCAGCCCACAGCCCACCAUGAAAUUUCUCAGAAAGAUCUUAUCUCCGAACCUGAAGUCUCCCAGUCUUUCCAGAAAGACCUGAACAUUGAAGACCUCUGCGUUGUUUCUAGCUGACAUCCCUCUAUAAGGAGAUGAUUCCUCUUGUCAAAUUAUCAACUUCCUCAAGGAGCAGCAGAUACAAGAAAGACACUUGAUGGAAUUACUAAGUGGAUCUGAACUCUGAGAGGAGAGAGAACAGAUGGAUAUCCCUCACUCAUCACACUCGACACGUGGCCUUGAGGCCACAGUCAGCAUCACAGGUUUCUUUUAACACAGACUACAUGGGAUACACACAGGAGCAUGUGGCUGCCAAUGAAUAUGGGUCCUCUGGCCUGUCAGAUUAAACAGAAUUGAUGCUUUUGAACUGUGGUGUUGGAGAAGACUCUUGAGAGUCCCUUGGACUGCAUGGAGAUCCAACCAGUCCAUUCUGAAGGAGAUCAGCCCUGGGAUUCCUUUGGAAGGAAUGAUGCUAAAGCUGAAACUCCAGUACUUUGGCUACCUCAUGUGAAGAGUUGACUCACUGGAAAAGACUCUGAUGCUGGGAGAGAUUGGGGGCAGGAGGAGAAGGGGACGACCGAGGAUGAGAUGGCUGGAUGGCAUCACGGACUCGAUGGACGUACUCCUGUCUGCUCUCACCUGGUGUUCUGCAUGCACUUCUGUGUCUGAAGGUGUAUUCCUGAUGUAUCCGUGGAGAGAGAUGAACUCCACAUCCACCUACUCCUCCGCCAUCUUGUUCUCCGGACUAAAGAAAACACUGAUGAUUGAUCAAUUCUCCAGUGCUCUUUCUGGCUGGA